UACGUACUGCGCGAACGUUAUUCGGAAUCACUGGGCUUACAGGGUGCGUAGGCGGCUUUUCAGGUCUGGUGUGAAAUCCCCCGGCUCAACCGGGGAAUGGCAUUGGAAACCGAAAGGCUCGAGGUAGCUAGAGGCAUGCGGAACUUCCGGUGGAGCGGUGAAAUGUGUUGAGAUCGGAAGGAACACCAGAGGCGAAAGCGGCAUGCUGGGGCUAUUCUGACGCUGAGGGACGAAAGCUAGGGUAGCGAACGGG
rnacentral:rRNA from 1 species